GGUGCGACAGCGAGAUGCGCGAGUAAAUCGUACGGGCGCCCAUCUCGUAUCGCACGCAUCGUGUGGCAUGGAUCAGUCGCGGGAGCUAGAAUCCGAGUCUGAAGAAUAUUAUCGAUAGCGAUCAUAGUUAUGCAUCAUUCCUUACACAGCGUUCCAAUGUAAAUGAAUGCUCAGCUGAACUGUUGUGCCUUAUAUACGAUCGUUAGUAAAUGCACUCGAUACAUACUAGGCUGUCAAUACUCGAAUACCUUUUCCCGAGAAUAAUUUCGUAGAAUAUCCGAUUUACUUCACGAUAAUUAAGGAAAAUUGUAUAUCCAAUUGUUGAACUUUGUCUAAAGAUAUAUAUGUCUGUAAAAUAUAUCAUAAAAUUAUC